rnacentral:tRNA from 1 species
AGGCUUGUAGCUCAGUGGUUAGAGCGCACUUGAUAGGGUGAGGUCGCGGUUCAUGUCCACUCAGGCCUACCA